CAGCGCUAUCCUGGGGGGGGGGUGUAAAAAACUGACCGUGCGGCGCCGGUUGGUGGAACCUGGGCGCUGGGGAAGGGAGCGGGGACCCGGCAGCCCCGGGCGCUCCGCAAGUGGUGAGCAAUUUGGCCUGCUGAUAGGAUGUUACCUCUUUUUUCCUGCUGCCACCUUGGAUGACUUGUCCAGAGUCUUUACAAGUUUGUAUGAUUAGGGUCAAGGUGCUGUUUAUUAAAUUGUUGAGGAUUUCACUUCAGAUCUUCAUGGAAAGCCUUCCAGAAUGUCUGGAUGUUCUGGGAUAAGACUCACUGGUAGAGCUGAGGACACAGCUAAUCUAGGGCAUGUCUUCGCUAGGGUUUUAUAACACAUGUAACCCCAGCCCUGAUGCGUGGCCUAAGACUUCUCCCUGUUGCUUGCUUCUUGGAGUGGCUUCUCACCUCAAGGGUAUGGGGCCUGUGAGCUCAUCUGCCAGCCCCAUAGGCAGCUUGGCUGUGGCUCCACCCCCAGCCUCUCUCCCCAGACCCUGGACCUGCUUCUGGCGCUAGACCCUGCCCUCCAGCAGCAGCCCUGGCCUUGGCCCCCUUACCCUGUAUGCGUCACCUCUCCCUGCCACCCCUCCUCAACCAACAGAAAGGGCUACCUUUAUAUGGUUGUGCAAGCAUUUGUGGGUCAUCAAAAAUGCUUCACCAAUGUCAGUGUUGGCUGGUUAGGGAAGAUACGUGAUGCUUGCAUUGUUAAGAACACAAGACUGUUGAAAGUUACAAUCAGAGACUUUCUUGACUGGCAGAUUACUAUUGGCAAUGUUGAAAUGUGAGUAGCGAUACUGGGAGGACCCAACCUACCCCUUGCGCCAUUGGCUCAUGAAGGCAUCCACCUCAACAGCACCCAGGAAAGAUUCAGCUACCAGCUCAGCAUGUGCAGAAUGACAGUUGGGUGCAUAGGCGGCAGCGUGAAAUGUUGGAGCAAAAAAUGGACGACCUACUGAGUCAUCAGAGACAAUUUGUCGAAAAUAAUCGUCGGUCCUUAGAACAGAAAAUAAAAGAAAAGGAAAAGUCUUCUACAUUUCUAAGAAGUGUUUCAUCAGCUACAUGACUUACUGACAGGGGAUCUGCCGUGCGACCAGAUAAACCAGGACUUGCAGCAAGCCAACGAUGCUCUACGAGCAGAACUCAACAAAGAAAUGGAGGAAAAAAACCUUCUUCGCUGCCAGUCUGAUCAAAAAUCUCAAGAAAUCCAUCAGCUGCAAGAAGAACUGAAAACAGCUAAACAGUUUCUGAAGGAGACCCAGAAUUAUGCGGAAGAGAUGAAAAAGAAGAGUUUGUCUCAGGAAAUACAAUUAGAAAAGAAAGAAGCUGAGAUUCGGGAUUUAGAGGGGAAAAUCAAGAUUUGACUGAGGAACUUGAGAAAGUGCAGUCAGAGUUGCAACUUAAACAAGCUGAGAUCGCUCAUCUCCAAAAUCUAUCUGCAGCCGAGUUGGCUUGUUUAAAAAAGGAAAUAGUAAACAUCAAGGCAGAGCAAAAGAAACUUCAAGAGCAACUUAACAACUCGCUUCAAGAAAAUGAGCAACUGAGCAAGCAAAGCAUUCUUACUCUCUGGCUACAAGGAAACUGUUUACACUCAUGAACGUGAAAAAAAUCAUCCAUACCCCGUGCAUCCACUUUCAUAAGUGCAAGGCUAUUUGGGGAACCAGUGAAAUUAGUAGCUGAGACAACAGAAGCCUGAACCCUCCUUGUCAAAGCCGGCAUAGUAAUCCAUUGGUCACUGCCAACACCAAAGGUAUUCAUGAAGGGAAUGGUUUCAG